GCUUUAGAAAAACUAUAUGCAAGUGUGGGAAAGUGACGAGUGGAUACGGGUGAGUGUGCGGUACAGUGCAGCCUUAUGUCAAGCCAAAGGCAAGUGUAGAGCUCUCUUCUGUCAAGCACACGAAGACUUUCGAGUAUACACAUCCAGUAAAAUUGUUUUGGCCUAAAUCGAAGUGCUAUGACUAUCUAAAAGAUCCUCGAGCAGGUUCGGAAGCAUUUAAACUAGAAAGGAAGGGGGGAGAAAUCAACAAAAAAACAGAAGGG